CAUGCGUUGUCUUGCACGCGUUCCGGCCGCACUCCGAUAGUUUUGACGCGCUUUGAGUGACGCAAUGUUCGUGUUUGCGCAAUAUGAAAUCGACUCGACCACAGAGGUCAUCGACCACGCCACUGUUGAAGGCUUCCACCCUACAAAUGUGGCAGAUUUCGGUGGAAGUCAUUUAUAUAACGUAUGUUGGAACGGGAAUUACAAUGUUGACGGCGGCUACUACAAAGCCAAGAUCCUCCACAUGACAGAAACUCGGGAAGAAAUUGAUUUGUACCUCAGCAAGAGGCCGAGGAAAACGGUGAAUUUGGAAAAAGCAAAAAAGAGGAAAAAUCAAAGGUAUAGUUACCAUAUUCAUUCUAUUCAUCUUGGACAUCGUAUACAUGGCUUCCACUUGCGUAACUUGACAUCAUGGCUCGGAAGAGCAGGAUUAUUUACGCGAGAUCUUUGGACGUGGUGGUGGGGGCCGAACUCCUGUAUCUUCCCACUCAUUGGCAGAUAUAGGAGCAAAAGGAUCCAAUGCAGCCACCACAUCCCAAACUGCAUCUGGGUUGCUUGUGCCCCGGCUGCACAGUAAAGUUUUAUUGUUACAUUUACUAUCAUCUGUAAUUUAACGUGUGUGACAGGUAAUAAUUUGGUUAUUUAAUUUAUAUGUACUAAUCGUGAAUAGAUGCUGUAUACAGUUUUUACUUUAUUAGCAGGCAUGCAAAGUUGAGUAUAGGUUCUAUAUGCAAUGUUUUUUGUGUUGUAUGCUCCGUCAGAUGCAUGAUUCACAAAAAAUGCAGUUUUCAUGUAACAAGAAAGCUACUUGCAUUCAGUUACGCCAGAAUAAGCAUGAGUUCACUGUGAUGAGCUGGUGACACUCAUCGGAGUCGGUGCUGCAAAAGUCAGUUACCUUCACUGUGCUCAACUUCGCAGUAUCUGCUGAGCUAGAUAUAGUUUUCUGGACAAUAAAUUUAGCCAAGAAUAAGCAUUGCAAAAAAGAGUACAUUCAUAGUAGGCCUAACAAUGAUUACAGCAUGGUAGCGUGCGGUCUUUGUUCCACUAUUUAGUCACUGUCCCAUUUCAGAUCUGGCAAAAGUCUUCCUGAUGUGAGUCUGGCCACUUCACUGCCAUCUGUGCCUAGAACUUCUGUGGCUGCACGCAGCACCACAGAACUGCCUAUGCCAGAGCAAAUUGCAUCUCAAGAUCUCAUGCCGAGUAGCAGUGCACCAGUGGAGCCAGAUGAAUAUGCAUCUCAAGAUCUACUGAUGUGCAGCAGGCCCACGCCAGUGGAGCCAGAUGAGUUUGGUAUGAAAAGUCUUAGCAUGCUGUUUUUAUGCACUUUUUAUACAACUUGAGCAAAUGAGUGUUAAUGUAAAUGUCACUUCUUUUACAGUGGAUAGUGUUAUAAUUAUUUUUGGCCUAUGCCUGGUGACAACUGUCUGUGGCAGCACAGCCAAAGCUACGUGGGUAGAGCUUCUGCACAUGCGUUACUAUGCCAAGCAGUCCAUUUGCAAGUGAUUUCAGUUUUGAUUUCCCAUGUACACCCAACGUGUGUACUUUAUACAAGCGUCCAUGACUUACGAUGUUCUUUUUGAAAUAGUGUUAUGAGAGUUAGGUUAUGUAUAGCUUUAAUCAAAAAGCUUUGACAAGCCUUGAUAUAGCUAUGGAUACAGCACUGAUGGAACAAAUACC